CCCUACGGGAGGCAGCAGUAGGGAAUCUUCCACAAUUGGCGAAAGCCUGAUGGAGCAACGCCGCGUGGGUGAAGAAGGUCUUCGGAUCGUAAAACCCUGUUGUUAGAAAAGAAAGUGCGUGAGAGUAACUGUUCACGUUUCGACGGUAUCUAACCAGAAAGCCACGGCUAACUACGUGCCAGCAGCCGCGGUAAUACGUAGGUGGCAAGCGUUAUCCGGAUUUAUUGGGCGUAAAGGGAACGCAGGCGGCCUUUUAAGUCUGAUGUGAAAGCCUUCGGCUUAACCGGAGUAGUGCAUUGGAAACU
rnacentral:rRNA from 1 species